CUUUGAUCCUUCUCCAAAUUAAGAGCAUAUCCUUAGUUCUUCUCAAGAGCUAAAGGAUAUUUUCACAGCAAUCCAGCACUCUCAGUCUGGAUACAACUGAUAUCUACUUGUGACAUUCACAGUAUAAUCAGUUCAAGUACUACUUAGCAUACGACUAUGCCCGAGAGGGUAGCAGACCCCUCUUUGAGAUUUCUAUGCAGAACUCUUUCAGCAUCCAGUCUCUGUAUUUUAUCUGUAAAAACAUAAGCAUCCAAUUGUAUCUAUCUCA
rnacentral:lncRNA from 1 species